UUCUCAAAGGUAACAUUGGCAAUAAACUGGAUUUCAAAUCCAUCGUUCGGGUGAUGUCAUCUUUCCACUUUUUAAAUGGACAGAAAUUAGAGAUAGAGGACAAAUUUGGUACCACGUUUUGACAUAAAGAAAAUAUUUUACAUGAAUAAUUUUUAACUGCUGCAACAUCUUUUCUUCUAUGACUUACAAUAUCCUUUCAAUGGAAUCACUAUCUACUUGGUUUUGAGACAUAUUAAUAUUCCUGUUUUCCUCAUUCUUUGACUCCAUGUUAUUUGCAGUAUCUGCUUUGCUAUGUGUUGUUUUCAAUCUGUUAAUGCUGUAUGGAUUUCAUUUUUUUUUCAGUUCUCUUGAGCUCUACCCAAUCAUAUUAGCUUUCAUGUUGCCUUGCUGCUUCUCCUUUGAGCACUUAGCUAUUUAGCUCUGUGAAUUAUAUCUAAUUAGAGCGAAUUACUUUCAAAUUACUUAUACCCUCUAUGCCUCAGUUUUCUAGGAAUGAGAUUGUAGGGGCUUAGCAAGAAUUAAAUGAGAUAGGGUAUGUCAAUAAAACUUUUAAAAAGUUCUUGGCACAAAAUUGACAUUCAAUAAUGUUCAUUAUUUCAUUCAUUUCUUAAAAUGCUUUAUGGAAAAUAACCACAUACAGAAAAUUUUUAUUUUUAAAAUGUAUUUCUUGAUUUGAGAGACAAAGAAAGCGAGCUCCCAUUUGAUUCAUUCUUGCGAUGAUAUUGAGGGGCAGGAGCCAAGGCCAGAGGUGAGGAAGACAAUCCAGACUCCCGCACGGAUGGCAGGGAUUCAACUUUCGAGCCAGCACCACUGUCUCCCACAUUGUCAGGGAGCUGGAGUCAGGAGCUAAAACUGGAAUCAAAACCCAGGUACCCUGAUAUGGGACAUAAGUUUAUUUUUUGUUGUUGUUGUUAAGAUUAUAUUUAUUUAUUUGAGAGCUAGUGUUACAGUGAGAGGGAGACACAGAGAGAGAGAGAGGUCUUCCAUCCUCUGGUUCACUCCCCAAAUGUUAGCAACGGCCGGAGCUGGGCCGAUCUGAAGCCAGAAGCCUGGAUCUUCUUCCCAGUCUCCCAUGCAGGUGCAGAGGCCCUAGUGCUACAACAGAGAGCUACAGAGAGCUGGAUGGGAAGAGGAGCAGCCGGGACUAGAACCAGAGCCUAUCUGGGAUACGGGCACUGCAGGUGGAGGCUUAACCUACUGCGCCACAGCACCAGCCCCAGGACACAGCAGAUUAAAGCCCUGGCCUGAAAUGCCGGCAUCCCAUAUGGGCGCCAGUUCAAGUCCUGGCUCGUCCACUUCCGAUCCAGUUCUCUGCUAUGGCCUGGGAAAGCAGAAGAAGAUGGCCCAAGUCCUUGGGCCCCUGCAACCACGUGGGAGACCUGGAAGAAGCUCCUGGCUCCUGGCUUCAAAUUGGCGCAGCUCUGGACAUUGCGGCCAUCUGGGGAGUGAACCAGCAGAUGUAAGACCUCUUUCUCUCUCUCUACCUCUCUCUGUAACUCUUUCAAAUAAAUAAAAUAAAUCUUUUUAAAAAUA